AAUAUUGGGCAAUGGGCGCAAGCCUGACCCAGCAAUGCCGCGUGGGUGAAGAAGGUCUUCGGAUUGUAAAGCCCUUUCGGCGGGGACGAUGAUGACGGUACCCGCAGAAGAAGCCCCGGCCAACUUCGUGCCAGCAGCCGCGGUAAUACGAAGGGGGCUAGCGUUGCUCGGAAUCACUGGGCGUAAAGGGCGCGUAGGCGGCCCUGUUGGUCGGGCGUGAAAUCCCCGGGCUCAACCCGGGGGCUGCGCCCGAAACGGCGGGGCUGGAGGCAAGGAGAGGCUCGCGGAAUUCCCAGUGUAGAGGUGAAAUUCGUAGAUAUUGGGAAGAACACCGGUGGCGAAGGCGGCGAGCUGGCCUUGAACUGACGCUGAGGCGCGACAGCGUGGGGAGCAAAC
rnacentral:rRNA from 1 species